rnacentral:rRNA from 1 species
UACGUAGGGGGCAAGCGUUUGUCCGGAAUCAUUGGGCGUAAAGCGCGCGUAGGCGGCCCUGUAAGUCCGUUGUGAAAGUCAAAAGGCUCAACCUUUGAAAGCCGAUGGAUACUGCAGGGCUAGAGUCCGGAAGAGGCGAGUGGAAUUCCUGGUGUAGCGGUGGAAUGCGCAGAUAUCAGGAGGAACACCAAUAGCGAAGGCAGCUCGCUGGGACGGUACUGACGCUAAGGCGCGAAAGCGUGGGGAGCGAACAGG